rnacentral:rRNA from 1 species
CAGCCGCCGCGGUAAUACGUAGGGUGCGAGCGUUAAUCGGAUUUACUGGGCGUAAAGCGUGCGCAGGCGGCCCGUUAAGACAGGUGUGAAAUCCCUGGGCUCAACCUAGGAAUUGCGCUUGUGACUGGCGGGCUCGAGUACGGUAGAGGGGGGUGGAAUUCCUGGUGUAGCAGUGAAAUGCGUAGAGAUCAGGAGGAACACCGAUGGCGAAGGCAGCCCCCUGGGCCUGUACUGACGCUCAUGCACGAAAGCGUGGGGAGCAAACAGGAUUAGAUACCCUGGUAGUCCACGCCCGAAACGAUGGGUACUAGCCGUUUGGUGCGCGAUAGCGCUGAGUGGCGAAGCUAACGCGUGAAGUCCCCCGCCUGGGGAGUACGGCCGCAAGGUUGAAACUUAAAGGAAUUGGCGGG